UACGUAGGGGGCGAGCGUUGUCCGGAUUUAUUGGGCGUAAAGAGCGUGUAGGCGGCCAGGUAGGUCUGCUGUGAAAACUCGAGGCUCAACCUCGAGACGUCGGCGGAAACCAUCUGGCUAGAGUCCGGAAGAGGAGAGUGGAAUUCCUGGUGUAGCGGUGAAAUGCGUAGAUAUCGGGAGGAACACCAGUGGCGAAGGCGACUACCUGGCCUGUUCUUGACGCUGAGGAGCGAAAGCGUGGGGAGCGAACAGG
rnacentral:rRNA from 1 species